rnacentral:rRNA from 1 species
UACGGGGGGGGCAAGCGUUGUUCGGAAUUACUGGGCGUAAAGGGCUCGUAGGCGGCCAACUAAGUCAGACGUGAAAUCCCUCGGCUUAACCGGGGAACUGCGUCUGAUACUGGAUGGCUAGAGAUUGGGAGAGGGAUGCGGAAUUCCAGGUGUAGCGGUGAAAUGCGUAGAUACCAGGAGGAACACCGGUGGCGAAGGCGGCUUCCUGGCCGAGUACUGACGCUGAGGCACGAAAGCGUGGGGAGCGAACGGG